CCAAAUUUAAACUAAUGAAUGCAAGAUAGUAAUAUGCUAAUUAGUGCAACCAGGUUGAGAUCCUACGUGGCUUGGUUAAACUUUGUACCCCCUAUUUUGGCACGUCAUAUUUUUCUACAGUAUGGGCAUUUCAGUGAACUGUGUGGUAUUGUCUGAACAGCUGGCGUGCAACACUCAACACAGACUAGAUCUAGUACAGAUCUACUUGAAGUUGUUAAAAGAAAAGGCAACCCAACAAUAUCAAUAAUCAAGUCACUCAGUGGUGUCAUUGCACUGGCUGAAUCGAGUGAGAACUUCUGAUUACCUGUACAUUGUAUGUUAAGUUCAUCUACUCCUUUGUCUAAUGAUGUGGAUGAUUGCUUGAAGUAGAAAUGGGGAACGUUCAGCUGCAAGUGAAUGACUUCACACCAGUGCGACCUGAUGAGAGAAAAGAACUAAAGCUGACCAGAAAAAUCACUAGUAGUGAUUACCAGAAGCAUGUUGCAGGUGAAGAAUUAGAAGGAGCAUUGACUGAGUUACCUUGGGCUUUGGUUGACUCUAUUUCAUUAUUUGAACACAUGGAUGCUAGUUUCAAUCAUAUAUCCGCUAUACCACCAGAGAUACCUCUCCGUCUCCCUCAUCUCUCCUACCUCAAUAUGAGUCACAACCGUAUUACUCUUCUACCAGAUAGCUUCUCUCUUCUAUUUCAUCUCAAGACAUUGCUCAUCAAUCAUAAUGAACUUGAACAUCUCCCGGAUUCUUUCAUCCAUCUUGUAAAGCUUGAAAAGCUGGAUAUAUCUAGCAACAAACUCAAGUCUCUGCCAGAGAAUAUAGGAGGCAUGGAAUCGCUACAUAAGUUGAAUGUCAUGGAUAAUUUGUUAACACUGUUGCCUUCAUCUCUUGGGAAGUCUAGCAUCAUGGAAGUUUUGUUGGCUUCUAAUAACAGAUGCGCAUCUCCUCCUCAGAGUAUAUGCGAUGAAGGGUCAGAGAAGACAUUGCAGUUUCUCAGGAAGCAGUCUGAAAAUGGAUACAUUCCGAAAAAGAGCAAUACAGGAAAUGUUUUCAAACGAUGUAGAGGGGACGUCUUGCAAUCACGUGUUGCCAACCCCCACUGUGCGCAGGCACAGUAUGCCCAAGAGCUGACAGAGACUACCAAUACAAAGAGCAGAAUUCGCACCCCCUUGAGACCGCCUCCAGGUGCUACUACUCUAGAAGCAGAUGAGCUUAUGGAUAAGGUAGUUGGUCUGUUGUAUGGUGCUGCUAUUGGUGAUGCUAUUGGCCUGUGUACAGCUUGGAUGACAGAAGAUGAAUGCAAGUUCCAUUAUGAUGAACAUACUCUUCAUCCGAAUCAGAAAAUAAGUGAUAAACACAGACUUCAAUGGGCCAAGGGAGAUUGGACUACUGCAUUUGAUCAAUUGGUUUUGACCUUAGACUCUAUACUCCAAUGGGCUGGUGUGGUAGAUGAAUUAGACUUUGCCAAACGACUUGUUCAUUGGUACAACCAUGGUUUUCCAGAGCUAGGUGAUACCAAAGGAUUUGAAGGAUUCAGUAAUACUGUGGCUAAGGUGAUAGCCAAUCCCUUGUUCUGUGAAGAACCCAGUGCCAUAGCAAGAGGAUUAUGGAAUAGGAAUUAUGAUGGUCAUGAUGCUGAUUCAUGCGAACAUCUAGCUGAUAAUUCUGCUGUAGUAAGAACGGCAAUCCUUGGAGUACCUCAUUUCUACAGGCUAGAUGAAGUUGAGGAGAAUGCUUUGAGGAUAUGUACAUCAACACACCAGGAUCCAAGAUGUCAGGCCAGCUGUGCAUUCUUGUCAUCACUCAUAGCAUUAAUUCUUCAGAAUGAUUAUAAUUCUUCAUCAGAGGAGCUUUCUCUUGAUAAGAUCAUUACCAUGGCAAUUGAUGUUGGAAGGAAGCACCUAAUCCAUGAAGAACAUCAUCAUAUGUUCAACAAAUACUGUUCUGUAUCAUGUAUUGACAGUUUGAGAUCUCUUGAUAAUAACAAGCCAAGUCACACGUUUAGACCAGUGGCCACUUGCAUAACAGCUCUUAAGAUGUCUAGGAAUACAAACUUCAGGUCAUUGAUAACACAGAUUGCAAUGCAAGGAGGUGACAGUACCUAUAAUGCAUCUGUAGCUGGUGCUGUUUUAGGCUGUUGGUUUGGCUUCAAGAAUCUUCCUCCCUCUUGGGUGAAGUGCUUCAAAAAGAGUCAUACCACAUGGCUUGAUGUUAAGAUCAAUGCUCUAUUAGACAUGAUGGGGCUUCCAUAAUUUUUUUUCUUAGGUUGUCAGGAUAGUCAUUUCAGAUGUAAGAUAUGGCUGCAAGGGUUUACAGGGAUCACUAAUGGAAAGGUCAGUUAAGAGUAUGCAAUUUCAUAAAGUCAAUCAGGAAGAGGGAUCUGUACAGUUUGGACACCUCAAUCUUUGAUGUCUUAUGGUGUAAGUUUUGUUGUCAGUUUUAUAAGGAAGGGGGUUGUAGGGUGGCAUGACUCAUCUCUCUCUUUUUUAUAUGCCUGCCAUAUGGGACAUAUUAUCCAUCAUGCUCGAUGUCCGACCGUCUGUCCUUUCGUCUGUCUUAUAUACUAGUAUAUAUAUAUAUAUAUGUAUUUUUUUUUUGAGCUUGCCAGCAGUAAGAAAUGUUGAAAACAAUGAGUGUUUUUAACAAUUUUGAUUUGUUAUAAUUGUACUAUCAUCACAUAUACAAUUUCCUUCUUUUUUCUACCAUGCCAGGUAUUUUAGAUAGUGGGCACAUCGAGUAUAAUUAUAUGUUCUUUAGAACCUCUCUUACAACUCCUGGAAUGCAUUCAUUUCUUCAGGCCUGUGGCUUAAUAAGCCUGAUGUAUUGUUGAUUGUAUUUAAAAAAAUAUAUUUUUUUCAGAAAUAAAAACUAGGCAUAUUUAAAAUCAAGAAAUGUAAAAUUUUGUGUAGUUAUAUUUCAUGAGUAAAAAAAGGUAUGUUGCAUAAUUGUAAAAAGAUAGGGCUCUUAAUAUGUGCUCUCCUUCACAUGCAUUUUUUGUAUUGAUUUACAAAUGUAACAAACUACUUUUUCAUACAUAUUUUAGAUUUACAAUUUGUUGUUGAAACAAAAUUAAUACUGUAUUUCCUACUGAGAAAUCAAAUUAUCAUAAAAUUAUCAUAUAUUUAUUGUAUUGAUGUUGGUGUAUAGUUCUUGGUUGAUUAAAAAAAAAUAUCAUUUUACAUUUGAUCACAUGAAUGUCUUAAAUUUCUUUAUGUUGAUAUUUAUAUGCAUGAUACCUCAUUCUAGUUAAUCUUUCUCAUUGAACUUUGAAAUUUAUUUUGUUUUCUUAUUUUAGAUGGUUAUAGAAGUGUAUGUGCUAAUCCAAACCUCAGUCUUGUCGAUUUGGAAGAUAUGUAUUACCAUUAUUCUGAUAUGGUUGGCUAUACUUUGGAACAGUUUAUUUCCAUUUGUAAUAAAUAUCAACAUUUUCCAUUGUUUUUCUUUCAGAUAAUUACAUUCAACCAUAGAAAUAUUAUGUAUACUAAUAUAAUAUGUUGAUCAUGGAGUUAAGUUGUGCAAUAUCUAUGUUUGAUUUUAAAGGAUAAGAUAUUGAUCAGUGGUUUUGUUGUCUCACCUGCAUAGCAGAGCGAGACUAUAGGCGCUGCUUUUCCUAUGGCGGCGGCAUCAACACCAGAUCUUGGCCAAAGGUUAAGUUUGUGAAAUGAUAACAUAACUUAGAAAGUGUAUGGAUCAAGCUCAUGAAACUUGGACAUAAGGUUAAUCAAGUAUUACUUAAAAUCCUCCCUGAGUUUCAGGUCACAUGACCAAUUUCAAUGGUCAUUUAGUGUCAAUGAACGUUGGCCAAGUUGGGGGUAUUUGUUAAAUUACCAUGAUAACUUUGAAAGUUUAUGGAUCUGAUUCAUUAAACUUGGA